AUGAUGUCACCUCUCAUCAUCUGCACUGUUUCCCUGCUCAGUUUAACAUGGACUAAAAGACUCCAACAGACCCCGGGCUUACUGGUGGAGAGGGGUCACUCUGCCCAAAUGAACUGCAGUCACAACCUGCAUGGCAGUUACUAUCACAUGUACUGGUUUCAGCAGUUACCGGGGGAGAGUAUGAAGCUGAUCGUCCACACGGUGCCUUACAAGCCACCUGACUUUGGGAACGUGAGCCAGGACAAGUACUCAGCAGCCAAGACUGUGAGUGAGAGCGGAUCUUUCACAGUGAAAAAUGUGGAACCAGGCGACAGCGGAGUGUAUCUCUGUGCCGUCAGUGCACACAGUGAUGCAGGUACCUCUCAAACUGCACCAAAACUACACAAAGAUGACUGGCACACCGCCUGA